CGCAGCUAUGGAAAAGAAUGCCUGGCUAGGUAUGGUGCUGCAUGCCUUUAAGUCCGGCAGAAGAACUAAACCGAAACUUGCAUUACAAGUGUGUCACCAGGGUUUUCCGAAGCUCAAGCCAGACCCAGCUGAUCUGGAUGUAGAACUCUCAGCUCCUUCUCCAGCACCGUGUCUGCCUGCAGGCUGCCAUGCUUCCCUCCAUGACGAUAAUUGGACUAAACCUCUGAACUCCCAGGCCCAGCUGCCCAGGAGAUGGUGGCAUUGCCCACAGUGCUCUGGGCCCUCUCACACCUGUUCACAAUCACAAACAUGCUCCACAGCUAUGACCCCAGGCCAGUGUGAUGAGCGCAGCUCUUCAAUCCUCUCUUCCCAGUUGUGUCAAGCUGGCCACAGAGAUGGGCUGU